GCAAACUUGGUCAUUUAGAGGAAGUAAAAGUCGUAACAAGGUAACCGUAGGUGAACCUGCGGUUGGAUCAUUACAAAAUGAUAUAUUUCUAGGUUUGUAGUCUACUUUUCAAGAGUGUGAUUCGCCUAGAAAUAUCAAUUCACCCAAUGUGCACUGUUUCUGUUUUUCGGGUGAUUUUUGAAUUUUUUUUUAAUUUACUUACGGUUAAAAAGAAAAGGAAUAAAAUUGCCCGGCAGUUAAUGAACCCAAUUUAAUUAUUUGUCUGAUCUAUUUCUGAAAAUGAAAUGAUAAACAACUUUUGACAACGGAUCUCUUGGCUCUCGCAUCGAUGAAGAACGCAGC
rnacentral:misc_RNA from 1 species